GAUGAACGCUAGCUACAGGCUUAACAUAUGCAAGUCGAGGAGAAACGAUAUUGGAAGCUUGCUUCUGAUAGGCGUCGACCGGCGCACGGGUGAGUAACGCGUAUCCAACCUGCCCAUCACUUGGGGAUAACCUUGUGAAAGUAAGACUAAUACCCAAUGACGUCUCUAGAAGACAUCUGAAAGAGAUUAAAGAUUUAUCGGUGAUGGAUGGGGAUGCGUCUGAUUAGCUUGUUGGCGGGGUAACGGCCCACCAAGGCGACGAUCAGUAGGGGUUCUGAGAGGGUGAACGGCCACAUUGGGACUGAGACACGGCCCAAACUCCUACGGGAGGCAGCAGUGGGGAAUAUUGCACAAUGGGGGAAACCCUGAUGCAGCGACGCCGCGUGAGUGAUGAAGUAUUUCGGUAUGUAAAACUCUAUCAGCAGGGAAGAUAAUGACGGUACCUGACUAAGAAGCACCGGCUAAAUACGUGCCAGCAGCCGCGGUAAUC
rnacentral:rRNA from 1 species